rnacentral:tRNA from 1 species
GUAGAGCGCCGGGCUUUUAACCCGGUGGCCGGGGGUUCGAAUCCCCUCAGGCCCG